rnacentral:rRNA from 1 species
AUGAACGCUAGCUACAGGCUUAACACAUGCAAGUCGAGGGGCAUCAUGAAGUUUGCUUGCAAACUUGAUGGCGACCGGCGCACGGGUGAGUAACGCGUAUCCAACCUGGCCCGCAGUAGGGAACAGCCCGGCGAAAGUCGGAUUAGUGCCCUAUGUCUUCCUUUGCAGGCAUCCAAUGAGGAAGAAAGAUUUAUCGCUGCGGGAUGGGGAUGCGUCUGAUUAGCUUGUCGGCGGGGUAACGGCCCACCGAGGCGACGAUCAGUAGGGGUUCUGAGAGGAAGGUCCCCCCACACUGGUACUGAGACACGGACCAGACUCCUACGGGAGGCAGCAGUGAGGAAUAUUGGUCAAUGGGCGAGAGCCUGAACCAGCCAAGUAGCGUGCAGGACGACUGCCCUAUGGGUUGUAAACUGCUUUUAUGCGGGGAUAAACUUCAGCACGUGUGCUGUUUUGCAGGUACCGCAUGAAUAAGGACCGGCUAAUUCCGUGCCAGCAGCUGC